UAUCAAUAAGCGGAGGAAAAGAAACCAACAGGGAUUGCCCUAGUAACGGCGAGUGAAGCGGCAACAGCUCAAAUUUGAAAUCUGGCGCAAGCCCGAGUUGUAAUUUGUAGAGGAUGCUUCUGGGCAGCGGCCGGUCUAAGUUCCUUGGAACAGGACGUCACAGAGGGUGAGAAUCCCGUAUGUGAUCGGCGCGCACCCUCCACGUAGCUCCUUCGACGAGUCGAGUUGUUUGGGAAUGCAGCUCUAAAUGGGAGGUAAAUUUCUUCUAAAGCUAAAUACCGGCCAGAGACCGAUAGCGCACAAGUAGAGUGAUCGAAAGAUGAAAAGCACUUUGGAAAGAGAGUUAAAAAGCACGUGAAAUUGUUGAAAGGGAAGCGCUUCCAACCAGACUUGUCGGCGGUGUUCCCCCGGGCUUCUGCCCCGGGCUACUCACCCGCCAGCAGGCCAGCAUCGUCUUGGGGCCGCCGGAGAAACCGCCAGGAAUGUAAGCUCCCUCGGGAGUGUUAUAGCCUGGCGACAUGCGGGGCGCCCCGGGCGAGGUCCGCGCAUUGCAAGGAUGCUGGCGUAAUGGUUGUCAGCGGCCCGUCUUGAAACACGG
rnacentral:rRNA from 1 species